rnacentral:tRNA from 1 species
AUGCCAUCGACGUGUUCGACAGGUCUGCUUUAUUGGAGCUACGCCGAGCAGCCCACUUGCAGCCUGUCUUAAGACCAGCUUCUCGAGAUUGGAUCCGAUACCGCGCGGUCAGGCAACGGUAAUCAAGCCGUCCGUCAGAUGCUUCAUCCCUAGAGAUCAAGCAAACAACAACGACCCAGAGCGACAAGCUUCCUUCCUACCUCCAGUCCUUCCCCUAUAUCCGGCCGGCUAGGCCAUCCAUAGGAUCAGCAGAACUGGGCUCGGACGUUUCGGGCAGAACCCAAAACACCUGGAAGCCUCCAGAUCAAUCUUCUCUUCACAAUGUAUGCAGAACAGGCAUCAGGCCUUAGCCGAUGCAAAACUUUUAUUUCUUCAAAGGAUAUCUCUCAGUCUCGACACCAAGCGAAUUGGUGGAGCUGAGCGGGAUCGAACCGCUGACCCCCUGCUUGCAAAGCAGGUGCUCUCCCAGCUGAGCUACAGCCCCAACCAUCGCAAACACCUGACAGCAAACCGUCAGGAUCAGGUAAACCCAAACUAACCACCAUUCACAAAUGCAAAUGGUGGGCCCGGGAAGACUUGAACUUCCGACCCCACGCUUAUCAAGCGUGUGCUCUAACCAACUGAGCUACGGGCCCAUCUCUCUGCGCAGCGCCCAUUCCAAAGCAAAGCCUCGGAACAGAUCGCCCAUACAGGCCAGAGGCCGUCGCCGGUCGUCCGGCGCCCUCGCGGGACACGCAGCACCGAAGGUGCGAACAGCGCGUGAGCGCAAACCUAUGGUUCGAUAUCCUUUUGAAGAAAGAGAAACGUGGACGGCGAAAGCUCGCCAUACCAUCCGAAUGCCGAAGCAUUUCCGUGGCGUAUUGCGUUUCGAUGGUCACCUG